AACACGGGAGAAUAACUUCAACUCACUUGUGACAAAUUCGAUUCAAGGCAGGAACCCGGAAAAAUCCCCUGUUUAAGCCAGGAUUCGAACCUGGGCCACAGCGGUUGUUCUGACAGAAUCACAAAACUCUAAGCUAAAGUUACGUUAGGGAUCAAUUGCAAAACGCAAACAAAGUUGUGUUCUGGCCCAAGAUUAAUAUCGGACUUGCCGAGUGGAGAAGAACAAUCCAGUGCGAAACUACUUGUAAGAUUAGGUUCAUUGACCUGCUCAACGGAAAUGUUCCUGGGGAUGCUUUCCUCAUAGAGACAGAAAACGUCUUGAGUCACGAAAAAAUUUAGCAUUCCAAGAGUUUUACGAGCAGCACUAUACAACAGCUGAAUGUGCACCAUCUAAUCCAUCUACACCAUCCGGCAUUCUCGUGUCAAGUUCUGCUGAAUCUAGUAACACUCUCGCUUCAUCUAUUUCUAAAUCUAGCAUAACUUCUUCUAUUUCUGCUGCUAAGUCUAGCAACAAUCUCACUUCAUCUACAUGUAAUUUCUGCUGCUUUAUCUAGCAACACUCUCACUUUAUCUAUUUCUGAAUCUCUAAUGACAUUAUAAAUUCAUAUAUUAUUUCUGCUGGUGAAUCUAGCAACAAUCUCACUUCAUCUAGAUCUAGUUUCUGCUGCUGAAUCUAGCAACACUCUCACUUAAUCUAUUUCUGAAUCUCUAGUAACACAAUAACUUUGUCUAUUUCUGCUGCUGAAUCUAGCAAAACUCUCACUUCAUCUAUUUCUGAAUCUCUAGUAACACUAUUACUUCAUCUAUUUCUGAUGCUGAAUCUAGCAAGAAACAGUGAGUGCAGAUCAAAGCUAUACAAUGAAUGUGAAAUGACAACAAGGACAGGACAGGCUCCAGGUGAUUGACAGUCUUUUAAGAAGCUUACUGGCUGACCAUAUAGAAUCUCUCAAAAGCUCCAACAUUGUUAAGCCUGGGAAAGGGUUCAAGUGAAGAUAAGUGGUGAUGGUGCAGGGAUUAGCCACAUGAGCAACUUUGUUCUUUUGUCCUUCUCCUUUCUUCAUAGUAUAGAUGAUUUAUUGUCAUCAAAAGGCUGCAUUUUUUUGUUAAAAUUUGUAUGUAAUCAUUUGUUUAAAUUCUUAUGUAAUUAUUGGUCCAAUUUUUUCAUACCAGGAAAUCUUACUAUAGCAGUAGUAAGUGGAUCUGAAUCAAGGAAACGAAUAGCAGAGUGCUUCAAGGAUGCACUAAGGGAGAUAAUGAAGUACAAGAGAAUGGCUUUGUCAUGGUAGAUGAAGAAUGUAUUGUUAAGCAGUCUUUAUCAUGACGUAACCUACAAUGUUGCAUUCUGGGUAGUUGUUGGCCUCGUGGGCUGUGUGUUAUGAUCUGUCAUGUUGUAUGUUGAUUAUUGAAGAGAAUAAAAGGAGAAAUACAUCCAAAA